rnacentral:rRNA from 1 species
UGGGGAAUAUUGCACAAUGGGCGCAAGCCUGAUGCAGCGACGCCGCGUGAGGGAUGGAGGCCUUCGGGUUGUGAACCUCUUUCGCCAGUGAAGAAGGUCCUGCUCUUUGUGGUGGGGUUGACGGUAGCUGGGUUAAUGAAGCGCCGGCUAACUACGUGCCAGCAGCCGCGGUAAUACGUAGGGCGCGAGCGUUGUCCGGAAUUAUUGGGCGUAAAGGGCUUGUAGGCGGCUGGUCGCGUCUGCCGUGAAAUCCUCUGGCUCAGCUGGGGGCGUGCGGUGGGUACGGGCUGGCUUGAGUGCGGUAGGGGAGACUGGAACUCCUGGUGUAGCGGUGGAAUGCGCAGAUAUCAGGAGGAACACCGGUGGCGAAGGCGGGUCUCUGGGCCGUUACUGACGCUGAGGAGCGAAAGCGUGGGGAGCGAACAGGAUUAGAUACCCCCGUAGUCC